AAGAAGUAGGGUGGAUGAGGAAAAACCUAACUAUUCUUUCAACAAACGCUGAGUUCGAUGGUUUUGAUACCCAUGUUGGGACAGUUUUGCUUCAGUUCCGCCAUGCCAUGUGUUGCCUAUCGUAGUAGGAUGGAUGAGGGGGGAAAAUUAUAACUAGUGUUUCAGUUGCCUAUCGAAGUAGGAUGGAUGAGAAAAGAAAUUGUAACUGGUGUUUCAGUUGCAAUUUGGGGCCAAGAUCAAAGGCUUGCUAUUUUUUUACUCAGAGGCGAUUCAUCCGGUUCGCUGAAGGCCCUUACCAUUCUUCUGUGUUGGUUUGAGCAAAGUAUGCCACCGAAGUUCUAACUGUAAUUUCAAGACUAUAGAUACCACCAGACUUCUAGUAAAUACUCGUAUCAGAGAAGCUCAUAUGUUGUUCACUAGAUUUUUUUCAUAUUUUUAAAAAUGGUGUUUUACUUUAUGAGUUGUUCGUAUGCAUUUGCGCUGUAAUUAUGUUUCAAGAUGAAUACUAGUUUCUAUGGUAGUGAAAUUUUAAAAUCUGAUUUGAUGAACUUGUGUUCGGUCUUCAUAAUAGUUGACAGUGUGCCCAUUUGUUCUGGUGCUGUGGUCUUUUUCAAAUGAUGAUCUAACUUACUCUUCUGUAUUUGAUGACAAUUUUAUGGAUUGAUUAUGAUUAU
rnacentral:lncRNA from 1 species